GUAUAGUACUGCAGUCGAGCGGACGGAUGGGAGCUUGGUCCCUGAUGUUAGCGGCGGACGGGUGAGUAACACGUGUGUAACCUGCGCCUGUUAGACUGUGAUAACUCUCGCGGAAACCGCGGGCUAAUACCGCGAUGCUUGUUUGAGACACGUCGAUGUGUUCUAAAAAUAAAAGGUGGCUUCGGCUACCACUUACAGAUGGACCCGCGGCGCAUUAUCUAGUUGGGGAGGUAAUGGCUCUCCAAGGCGACGAUGCGUAGCCGACAUGAGAGGGUGGAUCGCCCACACUGUGACUGAGACACGGCCCACACUCCUACGGGAGGGGGCAGUAGGGAAUCUUCCCCAAUGUACGAAAGUCUGAGGGAGCAACGCCGCGUGAGUGAUGAAGGUUUUCGGAUCGCAAAGCUCUGUUGUGAGGGAAGAACACGUGCGGUUCAAAUAUGGCGGGACCUUGUGGGUACCUAACCAGAAAGCCACGGCUAACUACGUGCCACCAGCCGCGGGAAUACGUAGGUGGCAAGCGUUGUCCGGAAUUAUUGGGCGUAAAGGGCUCGCAGGCGGUUUCUUAAAUCUGAUGUGAAAGCCCCCGGCUCAACCGGGGAGGGUCAUUGUAAACUGUGGAACUUGAGUGCAGAAAAGAAGAGUGUAAUUCCACGUGUAGCGCUGAAAUGUGUAUAGAUGUGUAGA
rnacentral:rRNA from 1 species